UAUUACCUCAGAGUGCGUUAGGGAUAGAAGCGAUAUCCUUUUGUGAUAACCUGCACUUCUUAUUUUCUACAAAACCGCUAUCACAAAAGAUUUAGCGGAUAGCCCGACCCGGA
rnacentral:sRNA from 1 species